rnacentral:rRNA from 1 species
CAGUCGCCGCGGUAAUGCAGAGGUCUCGAGCGUUGUUCGGAUUCAUUGGGCGUAAAGGGAGCGUAGGCGGUCGGGUAAGUCGGAUGUGAAAUCCUGGGGCUCAACCUCAGAACUGCAUUCGAUACUGCUUGGCUAGAGGACUGGAGAGGUGAGUGGAAUUCACGGUGUAGCAGUGAAAUGCGUAGAUAUCGUGAGGAAGACCAGCGGCGAAGGCGGCUCACUGGACAGUUCCUGACGCUGAUGCUCGAAGGCCAGGGGAGCAAACGGGAUUAGAUACCCCGGUAGUCCCUGUCUCUUAUAC